GAUGAACGCUGGCGGCGUGCCUAAUACAUGCAAGUCGAGCGAACGGACGAGAAGCUUGCUUCUCUGAUGUUAGCGGCGGACGGGUGAGUAACACGUGGAUAACCUACCUAUAAGACUGGGAUAACUUCGGGAAACCGUAGCUAAUACCGGAUAAUAUUUUGAACCGCAUGGUUCAAAAGUGAAAGACGGUCUUGCUGUCACUUAUAGAUGGAUCCGCGCUGCAUUAGCGAGUUGGUAAGGUAACGGCUUACCAAGGCAACGAUGCAUAGCCGACCUGAGAGGGUGAUCGGCCACACUGGAACUGAGACACGGUCCAGACUCCUACGGGAGGCAGCAGUAGGGAAUCUUCCGCAAUGGGCGAAAGCCGGACGGAGCAACGCCGCGUGAGUGAUGAAGGUCUUCGGAUCGUAAAACUCUGUUAUUAGGGAAGAACAUAUGUGUAAGUAACUGUGCACAUCUUGACGGUACCGAAUCAGAAAGCCACGGCUAACUACGU
rnacentral:rRNA from 1 species